rnacentral:rRNA from 1 species
GAUGAACGCUGGCGGCGUGCUUAACACAUGCAAGUCGAACGAAACACCUUAUUUGAUUUUCUUCGGAACUGAAGAUUUGGUGAUUGAGUGGCGGACGGGUGAGUAACGCGUGGGUAACCUGCCCUGUACAGGGGGAUAACAGUCAGAAAUGACUGCUAAUACCGCAUAAGACCACAGCACCGCAUGGUGCAGGGGUAAAAACUCCGGUGGUACAGGAUGGACCCGCGUCUGAUUAGCUGGUUGGUGAGGUAACGGCUCACCAAGGCGACGAUCAGUAGCCGGCUUGAGAGAGUGAACGGCCACAUUGGGACUGAGACACGGCCCAAACUCCUACGGGAGGCAGCAGUGGGGAAUAUUGCACAAUGGGGGAAACCCUGAUGCAGCGACGCCGCGUGAGUGAAGAAGUAUUUCGGUAUGUAAAGCUCUAUCAGCAGGGAAGAAAAGGACGGUACCUGACUAAGAAACCCCGGCUAACUACGU